UGUAAUUCCUUGCCAAGGUGAGCACUUCAGGUUCAUGGUGGAUUCUAUUAACAGACUGAAAAUAUUCAGCAUCUACACAAAGAGACAGAUCUGUUCGUAGACAAGUAAAUCUUAUUAAGAGAAGAAAUUUGAACCCUUUAACCAGCAGUGGGCCUCUACCUACGGUCUAAUGCGACCUGGUGGCAUUGAACUUGGACGCAAUAACCUGAGUAAGACUUCUAAGAAAAAGUACAGUUGACACUUGAACAAUACAGAUUUGAACCGCGUGGAUCCAUUUACAGAUCGAUUUCCUCCCAAGUCAGCAACCCCUCAGAAAGCAAGACCAGCCCCUCCUUUUCCUCCUCCUCCUCAGCUUACUCAACGUGAAGACAAAGACGAUGAAGACCUUUAUGAG
rnacentral:lncRNA from 10 species